rnacentral:misc_RNA from 1 species
GUUGAUCACAUUCACAAUGACUGACAUUUGGUAAAUGUUAGGACGCAAAGCAAUCAGAAUCAUUUGUUUAUUCAUACUUUCCAUUAAGUCUGGUGGAUUACGAUUAGCGGAAACGGUAGCUUUAGGAAUGUAAUUCGUAAAUGUGUACACACCUGCGUUACCGAUUUGAGUGUAGACACUUAAAACUUGUUAAUUUAUGUGAUGGUAAUUUAGCGAAAAAUUAUUGAAACGCUGUCCCUAUUAUUUCGAUGAAUACAGCGUUUAGUGAAGAUAGAAAAAGAAAGAGUUACGUUUCGUAAGUUUUACUUCAGUCGUGUGGUCUAAACCACACUCGUUUUAUUUACAACACAUAAAAACAGUAU